AGAAUCAACGCUGGCGGCGUGCCUAACACAUGCAAGUCGAACGAGAAAGUGGAGCAAUCCAUGAGUAAAGUGGCGCACGGGUGAGUAACACGUGACUAACCUACCCUUGAGUGGGGGAUAACCUAGGGAAACCUGGGCUAAUACCGCAUAAUACCUUCGGGUCAAAGGAGCAAUUCGCUUAAGGAGGGGGUCGCGGCCGAUUAGUUAGUUGGCGGGGUAAUGGCCCACCAAGACUGUGAUCGGUAUCCGGCCUGAGAGGGCGCACGGACACACUGGAACUGAAACACGGUCCAGACUCCUACGGGAGGCAGCAGUGGGGAAUUUUGCGCAAUGGGGGAACCCUGACGCAGCAACGCCGCGUGGAGGAUGAAGCCCCUUGGGGCGUAACUCCUUUCGAUCGGGACGAUAAUGACGGUACCGGAAGAAGAAGCCCGGCUAACUUCGCGCCAGCAGCCGC
rnacentral:rRNA from 1 species